GACGGAGGAUGCAAGUGUUAUCCGGAAUCACUGGGCGUAAAGCGUCUGUAGGUGGUUCGAAAAGUCCACUGUUAAAAAUUGAGGCUUAACUUCAAAGAUGCCGUGGAAACUUUCAAACUAGAGUAUGGUAGGGGUAGAGGGAAUUUCCAGUGGAGCGGUGAAAUGCGUAGAUAUUGGAAAAGACCACCGAUGGCGAAGGCACUCUACUGGGCCAUUACUGACACUGAGAGACGAAAGCUAGGGGAGCAAAUGGG
rnacentral:rRNA from 1 species